AUGUUCCCUUGCUGCUGCCCUUCAAGGCGAGGCUCUCGCAGAGCCAAAGCCCAGAAUGAAGGUCUCUUCCAGCGUGUAACACGCUGGCUGAGCUCUCACUAUGGACGCCUGUGGCCACGGGGGAGGAGGCAGCCACAGGGCUCCACGCUGGAGAUCAGCAAUGAUUCCCAUGAGGAACUCAUCUUCUCAGGCAACGGACAGGUGCGUCAGGCCAACAGCUGUGGACAGUGCUGGGCUGGGCUGAAGGAGGAGUCUAGGGAGAUACACAGGCAGGGACUCAAGAUGAGCAGGCUGGGCCGAGGACCAGAGCCUGGAUAUAGGCACCUCUGGGCCCCGUUCUGGUGUUUCACUCCUGAGUGACUGACCCCAGUCUCGUUCCUAAGAGAUCUCGCCCCUAUGCUGCCCACUGACAGCUGGGUUAUGGCAACCCCAUGUCGGGCCCUGGUGGGAUUUUCAGGGGACAGGUUACUACUGGUUCCCUGGAUACGAAGUCUAGAGCAUCCACGUGUGACAGCACUGUUUUCCCACCCAGCCCGGGAAUCCCGGGCAGAGGUCAGCUCCGCUGUGCUUCCAGACCUCCCCACAACCCACGACGGAGAACUCAAACCCCACACACAGGGGUGAGGCUUACACUCAAGAGAGAGAGAGAGAGAUAGAGAGAUAGAGAGAGAGAGAGAGAGACUACUGCAAUCAUGUGUUGGCAGUGUGUCUCUUGGUCUCAGCCCUGGAGCCCCCACCCGUCUCCAUCCUGUUCCAUGAGAAAGGACAUUUGUCCUGUGGCUCAGCUGGGAUUCCAGUGCUCGUCCCCGGCUGCCCUGCUGCAGGUCACGGCCUCAGAGAGUGCCCCUGGAAGCCUGGUCUGCUGGGCAGUCACAGCCCAGGGCCCACACGAGGGCGGCUCUCACACAGGAGUUUGCACACAGUGCUGGGGGCUGGAUGUGCCUGUGUCUCCUGCUUGUACAUGUCCAUCUCUGUUCCCAUGUUCUUGUGUUCUCCUGUGCUUCUCUGUGUCCUUGUCCCCUCUCCUUAUCAGCAUG
rnacentral:lncRNA from 1 species